rnacentral:lncRNA from 1 species
GAACGUGACCGGUGAAAGGAAGUGGAAGCUUUGGCCCAACGUGGCUCCUCGGGGACACCUGGCAGGCUGGGAGGACAGUGGGUGACAGCUGCUGAGGGGAGCCCAGCGUCCACUCCGUCCACUCCGAGGGCCCCGAGCGAGACACGCCCUGCUGGGGUGUGAGGAGAGAGGCAGGAGGGAGGGCAGUUCUUGGAUGAGUGGUGCCUGAGCAAUCUCCUUUCCUUCAAUACUUUGAGGGCUCAGAGGAAAAAACAAUUAGAUAAGCAUCUUUAAUUUCCUUUAGGUAAAAUCUUGCUCAUUUUAGCAAAAUUGCAUUUAAUAUCGAGAGGGCUUUUGUGGGAGAAAGAUUAAUCAGAGGAAACUCUCCAGUUGAAGGAAAAGCUCCUGCUGUGGUCUUUGAAGAUGUUUUAAUUUUAUGAAAUCAAAGGAACAGAACUCUCAGGCACAUGUUAAACUUGUCUCCAUGCUCUCGAAAGCAUCUCCUAGACUUGGUAUUAAUUGGUGGGUGUCUGGUUUCCUGGCAGAUCAGGAACGCAGGGCAGCCCCCAACCUUAUCUCUUCUAGAGGAUGGUUCUGUGGGUUUCGAGAAGGACGCGGAAAUAAGUCUUCCGUGUUCCGAUGGGACAGCAGUGAAUAUAAUUUUGGCUAAUUCCCUGGAGCCAUUAGAAUCUUCAGCUGUGCCUCCCAAGACUGUCACCUUCUUUCCAGGGCCAGAUGUUGCCAAGUCCAGGGUAACAACAACUGACAUAUGAAUAGGUUGGGAGUGGCAUUUAGUGGAGGGAUAUGUUUUAAACUUUGCUUCAGAGUUACCCUGGGAUAUAUCGAUCAGGGUUGUAAAUACUUGGGUGUACACUCAACCUACGGCAGUGCAGUAGAGCAGGGGAACAAGUUCUAGGAGAAAGCAAAGAGCCAAGCCAGUCCACCCAAGCUCAUAGCGCAUUAUUCACAACAGGUAAAUACUGGCAGCAACACACGUGUCCAUGGAUGGCUGAAUGGAUAAACACAGCAUGUUAUUUGCAUGCAAUGGAGUAUUACUCAGCCUUAAAAAGGAAGGAGAUUCUGACACCUGCUACAACAUGGAUAAGCUUUGGUGAUAGUAUGCCAAAGGAGAUGAGCCAGUCACAGAAGGACAAACACUGUAUGAUGGCACUUAGACAAAGUACCGAGAGCAGUCAGAUUCAGAAAGACACGAUGGAGAACCAGGGUUGCCUGGGACUGAGGGAGGGGGAGGGGGAGCUGGUGUUUAAUGGGGGCAGAGUUUCCAUCUGGGAAGAUGAAAAGCCCUGGAGACGGAUGGUGGUGAUGGUUGCUUCGUACUGCUGAAUUGCACACGCUAAAGAUAGUUAACAUCUUGUGAGUAUUUUGCCACAAUUAAAAAAAAAUUAAUUCCCUUAAAAAGCAAAAAGAAAAAAAGGCCAGACCAAAACCACAAAUCUCAUGGGCUGAAGUCUUGCCUCUCAGAGACUUCCUCAAACUCUGACAACCCCCUGAGGGCCUCUAGAUCUGAGCUGAAAACUUCUGCAUGGACUCUAUUUAGAACUUUCUCCUCAUGACGGUAGGACUUUCAGUGGGUGUCUGGGGUCUAUUUCUCUUGAGCUGGCAAAGGCGACCCCAGAAUGGACUUGGGGGUCAGGGUCUGGUGUUGAAUGUGCUUGUUCUGGCGCUGACAUGCAGGCUGGCCUUGCUCUGAGCUCCCCCACCCCCACCCCCAGCGGCCCUGGGCCCACCCUGUGGUGGGCACGGGUGCCCUUGGGAGUCUAGGCUCUCCCACCCAUUAGCUGUAGGAUCUGGGGUAAGUCAGCAAAACCUUUCUGUCCCUCAGUUUCAUUGCCUGCAACGGGAGCAAUGAGGCUGCCCUUUCCGCCUGCCAGGGACUCUGGGAUUUCCAAAGAUGCCCUACAAGGAGGCACCUUGGAGUUCCCGCUGUGCUGCCAUGGGAUCAGUGACAUCUCUUCAGCUCCAGGACGCAGGUUCGAUCCCUGGCCCGGCACAGGGGGUUAAGAGAUUGGCUUUGCCACAACUGCAGCAACUGUGGCUCAGAUCAGAUUCCUGGC